UACGUAGGGUGCAAGCGUUGUCCGGAAUUAUUGGGCGUAAAGGGCUCGUAGGCGGUCCGUCACGUCGGCUGUGAAAACCCGGGGCUCAACCCCGGGCCUGCAGUCGAUACGGGCGGACUAGAGUUCGGCAGGGCAGACGGAAUUCCGGGUGUAGCGGUGGAAUGCGUAGAGAUCCGGAGGAAGACCGGUGGCGAAGGCGGUCUGCUGGGCAGUUCUGACACUGAUGCGCGACAGCGUGGGAGCAACAGG
rnacentral:rRNA from 1 species